rnacentral:rRNA from 1 species
UACGUAGGGUCCGAGCGUUGUCCGGAAUUACUGGGCGUAAAGAGCUCGUAGGUGGUUUGUCGCGUUGUUCGUGAAAACUCACAGCUCAACUGUGGGCGUGCGGGCGAUACGGGCAGACUAGAGUACUGCAGGGGAGACUGGAAUUCCUGGUGUAGCGGUGGAAUGCGCAGAUAUCAGGAGGAACACCGGUGGCGAAGGCGACUCGCUGGACUGAUACUGACGCUGAGGUGCGAAAGCGUGGGGAGCAAACAGG